rnacentral:rRNA from 1 species
CCUACGGGAGGCAGCAGUGGGGGAUAUUGCACAAUGGGGGAAACCCUGAUGCAGCGACGCCGCGUGUGGGAAGACGGUCCUCUGGAUUGUAAACCACUGUCCCCAGGGACGAAGAUGACGGUACCUGGGGAGGAAGCUCCGGCUAACUACGUGCCAGCAGCCGCGGUAAUACGUAGGGAGCAAGCGUUGUCCGGAAUUACUGGGUGAAAAGGGAGCGUAGGCGGGAUGGCAAGUUGGGUGUUAAAUCUACCGGUUCAACUGGUAGUCGCACUCGAAACUGCUAUUCUUGAGUGAAGUAGAGGCAGGCGGAAGUCCUAGUGUAGCGGUGAAAUGCGUAGAUAUUAGGAGGAACACCAGUGGCGAAGGCGGCCUGCUGGGCUUUUACUGACGCUGAGGCUCGAAAGUGUGGGGAGCAAACAGGAUUAGAUACCCGGGUAGUC